rfam:Homo sapiens chromosome 3 genomic contig, GRCh38 reference assembly alternate locus group ALT_REF_LOCI_7.
GCCGGGCGUGGUGGCUCACACCUGUAAUCCCAGCAUUUUGGGAGGCUGAGGUGGGUGGAUCACCUGAGGUCAGGAGUUCGAGACCAGCCUGACCAACAUGGAGAAACCCCGUCUCUA